rnacentral:rRNA from 1 species
CCACUUCCCCUUAACCCUUCCUUCUCCAUAUUUAAAGAUUUUACAGACGUAAACACAUAUUACGCUUAAACACUAAAACUUAAAAUAUCAAUUUUUGCUAAAAGUUUGAUAAAAGCAUAAUGUAGUAUGAAAAUCGUGUGAUAACUCAAGCGGGGUGGAGUUUUAACUGGGUAGGAGGCGGUGAUCAAAAAAAAAGCUUUUCCCCCUGAGGGGCCGGAGACGUAGUCUUGCUACGUAUGCCGGUUUAGGAGGCGGUGAUCAAUCCAAUGGCUUUAUAGAUUCUGAACUGAAUUCGGAUGAUUUGAAGCUUGAACUGUGUUACAACGUGUUAUCCCGUCCAAGUACUCGGAGAUUACACCAUAUUUAAAUACUGAACGCCCGCGUAACAUAAUAUAGUAACAAUUAAAGGAUCACACCGACUGAUCACCCGUGAUAACCAGGGUAGGCAACGUUUAUAUCUUCACAUCCAUACUUUAUAAUACAAAUGUCUCAUGUCAAGACACUUACCCAACGAACUCAUAUCAAAACUUCACCGACGAAUUUCAUAUCAAAACUGUUUUCUUUACAUCAAGCCACUAUAAAUGAUAUUUUUGUUUUCCGUUUUAAAUGUUUGUAUAAAAAUAU